rnacentral:misc_RNA from 1 species
UUUCCGUAGGUGAACCUGCGGAAGGAUCAUUCAUAAUAAGUGUUUUAUGGCACUUUUUUAAAUCCAUAUCCACCUUGUGUGCAAUGUCAGGGUUGAUUUUUCUCUCGAGAGGAUCAACCCCAAACAUCAACUAUAUCUCAACUCUUCGUCUGAAAAAUAUUAUGAAUAAAACAAUUCAAAAUACAACUUUCAACAACGGAUCUCUUGGCUCUC